rnacentral:tRNA from 1 species
GGCCCAGUAGUGUAGUCCGGCCAAUCAUCGCGGGCUUUCACCUCGUGGACCCGGGUUCGAAUCCCGGCUGGGUCA